rnacentral:rRNA from 1 species
GGGGAAUAUUGGACAAUGGGGGCAACCCUGAUCCAGCAAUGCCGCGUGUGUGAAGAAGGUCUUCGGAUUGUAAAGCACUUUCGACAGGGACGAUGAUGACGGUACCUGUAGAAGAAGCCCCGGCUAACUUCGUGCCAGCAGCCGCGGUAAUACGAAGGGGGCUAGCGUUGCUCGGAAUGACUGGGCGUAAAGGGCGCGUAGGCGGUGUACAUAGUCAGGUGUGAAAUUCCUGGGCUUAACCUGGGGGCUGCAUUUGAUACUGGUAUGCUUGAGUUCGGAAGAGGGUCGUGGAAUUCCCAGUGUAGAGGUGAAAUUCGUAGAUAUUGGGAAGAACACCGGUGGCGAAGGCGGCGACCUGGUCCGAUACUGACGCUGAGGCGCGAAAGCGUGGGGAGCAAAC